rnacentral:misc_RNA from 1 species
GCUGAACUUCCGAAAACAGAAGCUUCUCAAGGAAGUUGUCCUCCGAAUACAAGAUUCACUAAUUUCACUACAUCACAGAAGAAAUGGAUGAGAAGGCUCUAUGGGAACAAGCCACAGAGCUCCACUGGUUCCAAUUAGGCUAUUAUCAUGAUAGUCUUCUAGGUAUACCCUUCGUGUAUUUUUUUUCUUUUUUUCAGCAUCUGAAUACUGG